ACUAAUAGUUGGUCUCCUUUUUGUUAUCACAAUACACCUGCUGUUCUAAACAAUGCCAGUAAGAAAAUACUCAUCCAAAAAAAAAAAAAUCCUUGUUUUGCCUGAGUUCUAAAUAAUUACUACAGUUACUAUUAGGUUUUCAUAAUGUACGUGUAAGCUUUAAAUUAGCAAUUUUAAAAUUAUUUAUCUUUUAAUAAACAUUGUAUUCUACAUGGACGUUAACUUGGAGUACUCCGUUCUACAGUUGUACCCAGACACACACAGACCCAACUACCUGUGAUUUUUCUAGGGUAAAAGGGAGCUCCCUGGCUGAAGAGGAUGCGGAGAAUCAGGUGCUGUCCUUCUGACCCCCUUCCCCUCCUCACAGUAACCCUGGCGGCACUGCAUAAACCUAUCUGAAACCAUUGGGAUCCAUUGUCUCUAAGGUCCCAAAUAGCAAUGACCGUCUUUGAUUCUAUGUCUCUGCUAAAGAUUUGCUUCAGACUAAAUAUAUCCCCUUUUCCUCCACACCAGAUGGUUCUAUAUUCCUCCCCAUGUGGAAAGAGUAGGUUUUCAUGCUCCCAUGGAAGAGGGAAGCAGAGACAAGAAAGAAGGCCAUGUCUCUCCUCUCCAUUCUCCUCUUCCUAGGUCAUGUCACAAAGCACAUACGGCGGGUGUUUAAGAAGGGGCUACAAUAUAAGACCUCUCAUUAAUGGCCAAUUUUGGUUACAUCAAAGUACUUAUUAAAGCCUGGAUCACUGGGUCAUUAGAUGUCCAUUAAAUCCCCAUGGCUCUUCAUCAGAGAGGCAGAAGGCCCUGGCCCAAGGCCUCUAACCUGAGCAGAAAGACUUAGUGGGUCUGUAUGCCCAGGGCAGUAGCUCACGGGGGUGGGGUGACAUUUUUAGUGUUUGUCCUGUCCUCUGACCAGCUCUCCCUGCUUCUCCUCCCCAGAGUGGACUAAGGACUAACUAAAGGAAAAAAGAUGUGGCCAAGGUUCUGGUGGAGUAGGUUGUUGGGGAGAAAGGACAGCAUAGGAUUAGAGGCCCAGAGGUUCUGGGACAAUCACUAUAUAACAUGGGCCACAUGUGUAAUUUUAUAUUUUCUAGUUAGCCACAUUAAAAAGGUUAAAAGAAACAGGUAGAAUUCAUUUUAAUGAUACAUUUUAUUAACCCAACAUAUUCAAAAUCUCAUUUCAACAUGUCAUCAGUGUAAAAAAUUAUCGAGAUAUUUUUAUAUUCCUUUUUUCUUCCUACAUCUUUGAAUUCUGUUAUUUCGCACAGCACAUCUCAGUUCAGAUGGGCCACGUUUCCAGUGCUUAAUAUGCACCUGUGGCCAGAGACGAACGCAUUAGGCAGGGCAUGCAGAAGAGCAGAGAAAUGAGGACAGACCCUCCCUAAGCAGUUCCUGCAGGGCGUGGGGAGUGUUGGCGGAGGUUGAAACUUCCUAGCUCAUCAAAUACAACACAAUCCCAAUGGGAGAGAUUGAGGUUGGAUAUAUCUUCCAAAGAAUGCCACUUUCUAAAAAGGAUAGUGUUUCCACUGCAACAGUUUCAGUUCCCUGGAUAGAAUCUUCUGCUCAUGUCCACUUACAAGCAGAUUUUCUUCCAUCUCUGCCACUCCUGAGAUAGCAAGACCAACCCCUCCUCUUCCUCCUCAACCUACUCAAUGUGAAGAUGAUGAGGAUGAAGGCCUUUAUGAUGAUCCACUUCCACUUAAUGAAUAUGAAAAUCAAGAGGCUGGGCCUUGAAGCAUCUCAGCAAGCAUGACGUCCUCUACACCAUACCCUCUGGCCUGGGGUUCAGCAGUCUUCACCAUUCCCAUUCCCUGAACCCCUCAAAAUCAGGAAUACAGGUAGGAACAAAAAGUGGGCAGCCCACAUAGCAGGCAAAGCUAAUGGAACUAGCCUGCCAGGAACGGGGACUGAGAGGAAAACUCUUUACACGUUUCUGUUUUUCUAUCUUUCCUUUUCACGUUUUUUGUUUUGUUUUGUUUUUGU
rnacentral:lncRNA from 1 species